AAAUGGCCAAAUGUUCUGACCCUAUUCAUAGCCAUGCAAAUGGCCAAAUCAGGCUUAAAAAAGAAGGGGGUGGUGACUCAGGGCUUGAGCCAAGCACUAGCCAUUGGGAAGUUAGAAGGAGAUUUCCCCAUAAAUAAGUUUCUCCAUAAUUGUUCAC